UUUUCGUCCUGAAAGCGGUCACCCUCGCAGGGGGGAAGGGUUGUCGGUAACAAAGAAAAGCUCGGCGCAUUUACGUCCACAGCUUCCGGUUGUGUUGUGAAAACGGUUUCUUCGUCGUGUGGAAUCGCGACGACGACGAUGGCACCAUGGUGAAGCUAAUGUGACAACCGAUCGACCGACCGACCGAGUGCGGUUAUGUGAGUAGGAAAGAAGAUCAGCGUUCAACCGAGCGGGAGAGAUAAAGCUGUGGUGUUUGCGUACGUGUGUGUGUGUUCCUUCCUAUCUAGUGUGUACUGUGUGAAAAUAAAACGAGAGAGAGAGAGAGAGAGAGAGUUAGAGAGAGAACCUGCUGAACCGUUAGCCUGGCGGCAAGUGCGAGACAGCCGCAUCGCGGAAGAAAUCGUGGGAAAAAUAUUAUAAAAUUCAAAAUAAAGCAGCACACCUUCGGCUGGGUGGGUUUUGCUGUCCUGUGUGUGUGUAUGAGUGUAUGUGUGUGUGUAUCUGUGGCGAUAAUAAAAUCGCGUUUUUCAACCCCGGCAGAAAACUGAGUUUGGAUAAUUUAAGUACCCGGUUCCCGGUGCAUGGUGGAGCAGUGAAAAACCGUGGAAUACGACGGAAGCGACAAGCGGUGUAAUCUACAUACCAAUAACAUACAACUUUACCCCCACUUUUUUAUCGGUGUUGUACGUUGUUUCGCAUUUAUUAGCAAACGGCAGCAGUAGCAAAAAACGGCGAAAGGAUACAUAUUACUUCUUACACUACAUCGAGCGAGAACGAAACAAUUAAGCUACGAACAGCAGCAGCAAAUAUAAAAGGUUUUCCAGUAAUAUAUAGUCACAUAAAGGUAGUAGCAGUAAAAGAAUCACAAUCUCCACCACUCACACACGCGUAUAUUAGCUUCUACUAAUCAAUAUUAUUAUUACUACUGUUAUUGUAAAGCGUUCGUACAAAACUAAACCGAACGAUCGGCUCAUACGUAUAUCCCGUAACGGUUGAGGGGUUUUGUGUAUAUUUCAAUAAUUCAUCAGCUCCAGUCACCGAACCGAAAGACGCCCCAGCUGCUAUACACCCGUUGAUGGUGCCAAAAAAAACGGUCGGCGCUCUUCAUAUUUGCUGUUAAAUAUUCGUAAGAGCGUAGGCCAUCGGAUUACCACCUCCAGACUAGACGCAUCCAUCCAGGAAAUCCGCCAGCAAAGGUGAAAGAUUGGAAAAUUUAACCUCUCCAACUUCCUACGCGCACAAGCGUAAGGCUAACAAAAGCACGCUGGUUGUAUGAAAACAAACCCAACAGAAAACAUUGCUUGAAGGAGUAAUAAGUGUUAAUACCUCUAAGGUACGUGUGGGACAAGAACGGACACAAGAAGAAGAAGGGAAAAAAUAAAUCCUUUUUCGAUGAAACGAAGCACAGCACUGUGAG